rnacentral:lncRNA from 13 species
GGCGGCUCCAGACUGACGCUCAACUUUUAUGGACCCAGAUAUCCGCCAGCGGGGACGAGCAGGGGCCGGAGGUCGGAAGCCUCGCAGUUCCUGGACAUCCAACAUCCAACUUGUCUAGGCCGACCGAGGCUGCUGCAGCCCCGCGGGGAGCUGGUGCGGAGCUGGGGCCGGGCCGCGGAGGGCAAGCCUGGGCUCUGUCCACCCCUGACCGGCUUUUCCCAGGGGGCCCCCGAGGCCCGCAUCCCGGGCUGGCUGGAGAGCCGGAGAACUUCGCGCGCUGCGCCACGCAGGCCAGGGUGCAAACGGCGUGGAGGACUUCCCCCUCCUCCUAGCAACGCAACCCCUAGCCCCGAGACCGAGGCCCGAUGGCGCUCCGCGGCCGUGCACUCACCUCGGCCGGCCGAACGGGGCUGGGCUGAGCCGCCGGCGCCGGAGGGAGUGCGCGGAGGGUCGGGGGUCGGCGGCCACCCCGCCGCGCAGACUCGUCUCCUGGCGGGAGUCGCAGAGGGAAGCUCCUCGGAGCCCCCAGGAGGCCAGGGCUCCCGGUUCCGCUCCUGGGCGAGCAGACCUCGGGAAGACGCGCGCGGAUCCCUGUCCCCAGCUAGCAACCCGAACACACCGCGCCGCUGCCUUUUAUUCGCCGCCCGCCUUUGUUUGGGUCCCGGCUCCUACCACGGGACGCGGGGGUGUCCGAGUCAGACUCCGGAGCCGCGCCGCCGUCCGGCCCCUGGCGCCUCCUCGACCUUUACGCCACCGCGCUCUGAGUCGUGGCGGACGAGAAUCGGCGCCAUGCCGCGCGCUGCGGUCUCCGGGGCCCGGUGCCUGGCGCCGCCUUGGCCGCCUCUCCCCCUGCCCAGCCACGCGGUGGUUCAGCCAGGCCUCGGCGCCCGCAGGCUGGGGAGGAGGGCUGCGCAGCGACCCCUGGGGGUCGGUCCCCGCCCCUGCAGACGGUCCAGGCCAGGCCCCUUGCCCCGCCUCCGAGUUGCCUGGUUCCCAAGUCUCUUCCCCCGCCGCGCUCUCCCUCCUCUCCAGCCAGCCCGCCCAACCUUGGCAAGUCACCAGCCUCCUGGACACUCGCGGGCAUCCCUGGGUGCCCUCCGGAGGGAGCUGCCAAGCCCAGGCUCCUGGCGCAGUCCCUUCCUCGUUUGUUCUUCAGUUACCCCUCUGGCACCAGAGCCUGGAGCCAUGCCAGCCCCUGGGACCGGGCAUCCCUCCAGCUCUAGCACAUAG